UCACGUCCGCAGGCUGGCUGGCCUGGGCGAGUAUCUCUUCAAAAGGCUCAUCCUCAAGCACGACUAGGAGC
rnacentral:pre_miRNA from 1 species